GAUUCAUCAACAUGUACCGCCGACCGAUUUGGGUGAAAUCCUAACGUUUGUUUUAUGUUGAAACUUGGUAAGAGAAAUCGUACAUCUGCACAUGCGCGUUUUUGAAUCUACACCUGGCCUAUCGUCAGUGGAUGUGUCCCUAGAAAAAGGGACAAACCCUGUGGCAUUUUCUGCACUAAUGUUCACCACAGAGGUCCAACUGAUCAUGGCAAAAAGAGCCGUCCAUUGCCUUACCCCAGUUUCAUUUGCUUCAUGCUUCAGAAGGGAGGAACUCCUCAACAGAGCCACAACAUAGCACAUCACUGAAUGUGAGCGUUGGAGAUGGAUUUAAGAGUGAGCCAGAUGCCAGUGAGGGGGAGAGUGCUACC